AAGUCGUAACAAGGUUUCCGUAGGUGAACCUGCGGAAGGAUCAUUAUUGAAAUAAACCUGAUGGGUUGUUGCUGGCUCUCUAGGGAGCAUGUGCACGCCUUGUCAUCUUUAUAUCUCCACCUGUGCACUUUUUGUAGACCUGAAAAGGUCUAUGUUGCUUCAUUUUACCCCAAUGUAUGUCUAUAGAAUGUUGUGCCUAUGAUAAUAUAUGCAACUUUCAGCAACGGAUCUCUUGGCUCUCGCAUCGAUGAAGAACGCAGCGAAAUGCGAUAAGUAAUGUGAAUUGCAGAAUUCAGUGAAUCAUCGAAUCUUUGAACGCACCUUGCGCUCCUUGGUAUUCCGAGGAGCAUGCCUGUUUGAGUGUCAUUAAUAUAAUCAACCUUCAACUUGUUUGAGUGGUUUGGAUGUGGGGGUUUGCUGGCCUCUCAAAAGGUUUCAGCUCCUCUGAAAUGCAUUAGCAGAACAAACCUUGUUCAUUGGUGUGAUAACUAUCUACGCUAUUGAAUGUAAGGGGGCAGUUCAGCUUUCUAACAGUCCUCGGACAAUUCAUCAUUAAUGUGACCUCAAAUCAGGUAGGACUACCCGCUGAACUUAAGCAUAUCAAUAAGCGGAGGAAAAGAAACUAACAAGGAUUCCCCUAGUAACUGCGAGUGAAGCGGGAAGAGCUCAAAUUUUGAAUCUGGCGGUCUUUGGCCGUCCGAGUUGUAAUCUAGAGAA
rnacentral:misc_RNA from 1 species